UACGUAGGCAGCAAGCGUUGUUCGGAAUUACUGGGCGUAAAGAGUGUGUAGGCGGUUCUUUAAGUCUGCUGUGAAAUCUCCCGGCUUAACCGGGAGGGUGCGGCGGAAACUGGAGUGCUUGAGGGUGGGAGAGGUAAGCGGAAUUCCUGGUGUAGCGGUGAAAUGCGUAGAUAUCAGGAGGAACACCUGUGGUGUAGACAGCUUACUGGACCGCUUCUGACGCUGAGACACGAAAGCGUGGGUAGCAAACAGG
rnacentral:rRNA from 1 species